AGAGUUUGAUCCUGGCUCAGGAUAAACGCUGGCGGCGCACAUAAGACAUGCAAGUCGAACGGACUUAACCAUUAGUUUACUAUUGGGGCGGUUAGUGGCGGACUGGUGAGUAACACGUAAGCAACCUGCCUGUUAGAGGGGAACAACAGUUAGAAAUGACUGCUAAUACCGCAUAUGCCUUAGUUAUCGCAUGAUAAUAGAGGGAAAGGAGCAAUCCGCUAACAGAUGGGCUUGCGUCUGAUUAGAUAGUUGGUGUGGUAACGGCAUACCAAGUCGACGAUCAGUAGCCGGACUGAGAGGUUGAACGGCCACAUUGGGACUGAGAUACGGCCCAGACUCCUACGGGAGGCAGCAGUGGGGGAUAUUGCACAAUGGGGGAAACCCUGAUGCAGCGACGCCGCGUGGAGGAAGAAGGUUUUCGGAUUGUAAACUCCUGUCGUUAGGGACGAAUCAAGACGGUACCUAACAAGAAAGCACCGG
rnacentral:rRNA from 1 species